UUCAAAGCAAUGGCAAUGGAGGCUAGGGUUCUUUAUGGUGGAAGGAAGGAGGAAGAAGAUGGUUUGCUGGAUGGCGAGAUUGGGUUCCAGGAGGGUCAGCCAAUGGACCAAAUUGGACACCAAUUUUAGUGGGGGCUGAAAUUGGCUAGACCAAUUGAUUAGGCUGAAUUGGACUUUGUGGAGUCCUAAUGUCAAUAGGACUUAGAGGAGGACAUGGGAAAGGAGUCUUAGGCGUGAGGGAGGCGCUGAAAUGCUGAUGUGGCACUCAAGGAGGGCGCACACAAGGGGUGGAGGCGUGAGAACAAAGGAAGGGAUAAGGAUAAACUUGAGUUGGUUAGGAAAAUCUCAUCCAAAACAAACCCAGCUUGUGAUGGCGUAAAGGGGAGGCGUCCCACCUCUUCCUUCAGCUCCCUUGGCGUCGCACCAAGCAAGAGAAUAGCUUCUCUUCACGUAAACAAAAGGAAAAUUUCAAAAUCCAAAACUAAUUUCAUUCACCAUACCCUCCUUUAUAUAGAAAGAAAGGUUGGCAAAGGAUAAGGAUAAGGACUACACAGAAUUUUAAAUUGGACUCCUAAUUACAUGAGGACUCAAUUCAAAAUUUAAAUUUUCUAAUUGACCAAUCAAAGGCCUUGACACCUAAGCCUAGACACCUAAGAUCCAUAUCUAUGGCAUGUGGAUUGAAACCCAUCAAAAGGAAUUCAGCCGCAUGCCAUGAAUAUUUAUCUAGGUGGAACUCCUUCUCGGGUACCAACAUCAGCAUGAAGUUUGGAAGACUCCUCAAAUUUCAUCCGAUCUUCAAAUUUUAUGUUCUUAUAGUCAUUAGAAAGCUACCGAUGUCUACUUUCCAACAAAAUUUGAAUCAACUUAAUCAAACUUCUAUAGCUCCCAAAAACUUCAAAAUACUAUAUAGUGUUCAAUCUAUCACGGAUUUCAAUUGGAUCUGAACUCUGAAUUUCUUCCACAUAUGAGAGGUCUUCAUGGUUGAACUUCUCUUUCUUUUGACAUGUGACCACUUCUAAUUAGCCAUCGACCCAUUCAUGCCUUGGACUCAAUCUAAUUGAUAUUGAAGAGGCUAACCCAUUGUGAAUUAAAUCACUUAUUGCAUGGACUCAAUCUAAUUUCAGCUUGGACUCAACUUUGCUUGGACUAAAAUUUUUUCCACUCCUUCACCGAAUGUCCCACGCCAUUAGAAUGAGGGUGGUGCUUCAUGGUUGGGCUUCAUCUCCACGCUCUCCCCAUGAUUCAAUUGGGCUCAACAUGAUUGAUAUUGGAACUCCUUGAACCCCAUGAAACUUGGUGCACACCCAAGAAGGGAACUCAAUCUCCAUGCCCAAGGGACUAGACCCAAUACUCCAUGCCCAAGGAGGAUGCUCCUGCAUCAAUUCCUCCCUUCUGAAAAAGACUCGACUCCGUCGAAUUUUGCAUUUGAUAGAGCUCGUAGAAGUUCGGGUUCAGCUGUUGGACUCCCUCCGUCUUUAAUCAUGUGCAAUCUGAAAUUAGUCGGUCCUCCAAUAAAAAACUUCUGGUAUCCUCCUCGGCAUGUGGGCAUGAUCGAUCAACUAGGAUUUCCUCAAUGGUGUCCAUCGGGGCUGAUCGUCGAAGAAGUGAUGAUGAUACAGGUGGGAUGUCUUCAUCUUUAACAUAGCGACCAUCAUAGGGCUGCAACUCUUCAACAUAGUGACUAUCGUAGGGCUGCAACUCUUCGACAUAGAAGAUGGGGUUAACCUGCAAAUCAUCUGAUAACUCGAGCACAAAGGUCUUGGGUGAAAGUUAUUCCUAGGUUCUUCGGUGUUUAGCAUGCUGAAUUUUUUUUUUUUUUGA
rnacentral:lncRNA from 1 species